rnacentral:rRNA from 1 species
AGUGAACGCUGGCGGUAGGCCUAACACAUGCAAGUCGAACGGCAGCACAGUAAGAGCUUGCUCUUACGGGUGGCGAGUGGCGGACGGGUGAGGAAUACAGCGGAAUCUACUUUUUCGUGGGGGAUAACGUAGGGAAACUUACGCUAAUACCGCAUACGACCUACGGGUGAAAGCAGGGGAUCUUCGGACCUUGCGCGAUUGAAUGAGCCGAUGUCUGAUUAGCUAGUUGGCGGGGUAAAGGCCCACCAAGGCGAGGAUCCGUAGCUGGUCUGAGAGGGUGAUCAGCCACACUGGAACUGAGACACGGUCCAGACUCCUACGGGAGGCAGCAGUGGGGAAUAUUGGACAAAGGGCGCAAGCCUGAUCCAGCCAUACCGCGUGGGUGAAGAAGGCCUUCGGGUUGUAAAGCCCUUUUGUUGGGAAAGAAAAGCAGCAGGUUAAUACCCCGCUGUUCUGACGGUACCCAAAGAAUAAGCACCGGCUAACUUCGUG